GGGGGAUAUUGCACAAUGGGCGCAAGCCUGAUGCAGCGACGCCGCGUGAGGGAUGACGGCUUUCGGGUUGUAAACCUCUUUUACUAUUGAACAAGGCGCCAUAUUGGUGGUGUUGAGGGUAGGUGGUGAAUAAGCGCCGGCUAACGACGUGCCAGCAGCCGCGGUAAUACGUAGGGCGCGAGCGAUGUCCGGAAUUAUUGGGCGUAAAGAGCUCGUAGGCGGCUUGUCGCGUCUGCUGUGAAAUCCUGGGGCUUAACUCUGGGCGUGCAGUGGGUACGGGCAGGCUAGAGUGCGGUAGGGGUGAUUGGAAUUCCUGGUGUAGCGGUGGAAUGCGCAGAUAUCAGGAGGAACACCGAUGGCGAAGGCAGGUCACUGGGCCGUUACUGACGCUGAGGAGCGAAAGCAUGGGGAGCGAAC
rnacentral:rRNA from 1 species